AGGCCUUGCGCUCUUUGAGCGGCCGAUAUCAGAUUAGCUAGUUGGUGGGGUAAAAGCUCACCAAGGCGACGAUCUGUAGCGGGUCUGAGAGGAUGAUCCGCCACACUGGAACUGAGACACGGUCCAGACUCCUACGGGAGGCAGCAGUGGGGAAUUUUGGACAAUGGGGGCAACCCUGAUCCAGCCAUGCCGCGUGAGUGAAGAAGGCCUUCGGGUUGUAAAGCUCUUUCAGCCGGGAAGAAAACGCAUAGGCUAAUACCCUGUGUGAAUGACGGUACCGGAAUAAGAAGCACCGGCUAACUACGUGCCAGCAGCCGCGGUAAUACGUAGGGUGCGAGCGUUAAUCGGAAUUACUGGGCGUAAAGCGUGCGCAGGCGGUUUUGUAAGACAGGCGUGAAAUCCCCGGGCUUAACCUGGGAACUGCGUUUGUGACUGCAAGGCUAGAGUACGGCAGAGGGGGGUGGAAUUCCACGUGUAGCAGUGAAAUGCGUAGAGAUGUGGAGGAACACCAAUGGCGAAGGCAGCCCCCUGGGUCGAUACUGACGCUCAUGCACGAAAGCGUGGGUAGCAAACAGGAUUAGAUACCCUGGUAGUCCACGCCCUAAACGAUGUCAACUAGGUGUUGGGAGGGUAAAACCUUUUAGUACCGGAGCUAACGCGUGAAGUUGACCGCCUGGGGAGUACGGCCGCAAGGUUAAAACUCAAAGGAAUUGACGGGGACCCGCACAAGCGGUGGAUGAUGUGGAUUAAUUCGAUGCAACGCGAAAAACCUUACCUACCCUUGACAUGUCAGGAACUUUCCAGAGAUGGAUUGGUGCUCGAAAGAGAACCUGAACACAGGUGCUGCAUGGCUGUCGUCAGCUCGUGUCGUGAGAUGUUGGGUUAAGUCCCGCAACGAGCGCAACCCUUGUUGUUAAUUGCCAUCAUUAAGUUGGGCACUUUAGCGAGACUGCCGGUGACAAACCGGAGGAAGGCGGGGAUGACGUCAAGUCCUCAUGGCCCUUAUGGGUAGGGCUUCACACGUCAUACAAUGGUCGGUACAAAGGGUUGCCAACCCGCGAGGGGGAGCUAAUCCCAUAAAGCCGAUCGUAGUCCGGAUUGCAGGCUGCAACUCGCCUGCAUGAAGUCGGAAUCGCUAGUAAUCGUGGAUCAGCAUGUCACGGUGAAUACGUUCCCGGGUCUUGUACACACCGCCCGUCACACCAUGGGAGCGGGUUCCGCCAGAAGUAGGUAGCCUAACCGCAAGGGGGGCGCUUACCACGGCGGGGUUCGUGACUGGGGUGAAGUCGAAACAAGGUA
rnacentral:rRNA from 1 species